rnacentral:rRNA from 1 species
GGAGAUAAGAAGGCAUCUUUUUAUUUUUAAAAGACCUAGCAAUAGGUAUGCUUAGGGAAGAGCUUGCGUCACAUUAGUUAGUUGGUGGGGUAAUGGCCUACCAAGACGAUGAUGUGUAGCCGGGCUGAGAGGUCGAACGGCCACAUUGGGACUGAGACACGGCCCAAACUCCUACGGGAGGCAGCAGUAAGGAAUUUUCGGCAAUGGAGGAAACUCUGACCGAGCAAUGCCGCGUGAACGAUGAAGUAUUUCGGUACGUAAAGUUCUUUUAUUAGGGAAGAAAAGAUGGUGGAAAAACCAUUAUGACGGUACCUAAUGAAUAAGCCCCGGCUAACUAUGUGCCAGCAGCCGCGGUAAUACAUAGGGGGCAAGCGUUAUCCGGAAUUAUUGGGCGUAAAGGGUGCGUAGGCGGUUAAAUAAGUUUAUGGUCUAAGUGCAACGCUCAACGUUGUGAUGCUAUAAAAACUGUUUAGCUAGAGUUGGAUAGAGGCAAGUGGAAUUCCGUGUGUAGUGGUAAAAUGCGUAAAUAUACGGAGGAACACCAGAAGCGAAGGCGGCUUGCUGGGUCUUAACUGACGCUGAGGCACGAAAGCGUGGGGAGCAAACAGGAUUAGAUACCCUGGUAGUCCACGCCCUAAACGAUGAGUACUAAACGUUGGAUAAAACCAGUGUUGAAGUUAACACAUUAAGUACUCCGCCUGAGUAGUACGUACGCAAGUAUGAAACUUAAAGGAAUUGACGGGACUCCGCACAAGCGGUGGAUCAUGUUGUUUAAUUCGAAGGUACCCGAAAAACCUCACCAGGUCUUGACAUGCUUUUGCAAAGCUGUAGAAAUACAGUGGAGGUUAUCAAAAGCACAGGUGGUGCAUGGUUGUCGUCAGCUCGUGUCGUGAGAUGUUGGGUUAAGUCCCGCAACGAGCGCAACCCUUGUUGUUAAUUGCCAUCAUUAAGUUGGGGACUUUAGCAAGACUGCCAAUGAUAAAUUGGAGGAAGGUGGGGACGACGUCAAAUCAUCAUGCCCCCUUAUGACCUGGGCUACAAACGUGAUACAAUGGCUGUUACAAMGGGUAGCUMAAGCGUAAGCUUCUGGCGAAUCUCAAAAAAGCAGUCUCAGUUYGGAUUGAAGUYUGCAACUCGACUUCAWGAAGUUGGAAUCGSUAGUAAUCGCGAAUCAGCAUGUCGCGGUGAAUACGUUCUCGGGGUUUGUACACACCGCCCGUCAAACCACGAAAGUUGGCAAUAYCCAAAGCCGGUGGCCUAACUUGAGCAAUCAAGAAGGAGCCGUCUAAGGUAGGGUUGAUGAUUGGGGUUAAGUCGUAACAAGGUAUCCCUACCGGAAGGUGGGGAUGGRUCACCUCCUUUCU